ensembl:lncRNA
GGGACUCUCACCUCUAGGUGGUUCCAAGCAUCUGAUUCUGCCUUCCUGGUUUCCCAGGGCUGCUGGUUGCUUCCUCCCGGGCUUCUGGCUCUGGGCAUCUCUUGGCUGUAGCUGAGCCGCUCAGGCAGCGCUUCCACAAAGCAGAGCAGAGCAAACUGUCUGUAGAAGCAGGCUUGCCGGUCCCUGGGUUUCUGCUGCCGGAGCUGCUCGGGGACUGUACAGGACCAGCAGGCGACACCCUGCCAGGAUACGCUGUCUGCUGUCACCUCUGUGCCAGACAUGGGGCCUACUCCUUACAGACGCCGUCUCACUUCAUCUCCCAGUUCUGCUCUGAAGAAGGCAGAAAGAAGCCCAGUGGCCUGGCUGGCAUGGCCGGUGGGCUGCAGGCCCCAGCUUCCCCCUCAGCUGAACCUGAUGGGCUGAAAUCACCUUGCCUCUGGAUCAUGAGUCUUGAGAAGUUGUGGAGAGAGGUGUCAGAGAACCACCUUAACACUGUUCUGCAUUCUCCACCAUCAUCAUCUUCACCAUCCUCCCAGGCCUGGAAGUAGCUUAUAUUACAGAAGAGGAAACUGCAACUUAGAAAAUUACAUUUGCCAGAACCUUUUUGUUUGCAAGCGACAGAAACCUGGCUCCAAAGCAGUUUAAGCACAAAAGGGACGUUGUUGACU